UACAGAGGUCUCAAGCGUUGUUCGGAUUCAUUGGGCGUAAAGGGUGCGUAGGUGGCGCGCUAAGUCAGGUGUGAAAUUUCGGAGCUUAACUCCGAAACUGCAUUUGAUACUGGCGUGCUUGAGGACUGGAGAGGAGACUGGAAUUCAUGGUGUAGCAAUGAAAUGCGUAGAGAUCAUGAGGAAGACCAGUGGCGAAGGCGGGUCUCUGGACAGUUCCUGACACUGAGGCACGAAGGCCAGGGGAGCAAACGGG
rnacentral:rRNA from 1 species